AUGGAAUGGAGCUGGGUCUUUCUCUUCCUCCUGUCAGUAACUGCAGGUGUCCUCUCCCAGGUCCAGCUGCAGCAGUCUGGGCCUGAGCUGGUGAAGCCUGGGGCCUCAGUGAAGAUGUCCUGCAAGGCUUCUGGUUACACCUUCACAAGCGAAUGGGUGCAUUGGGUAAAACAGAGGGCUGGAAAGGGCCUUGAGUGGAUUGGAGAGAUUUAUCCUGGAGAUGGUGAUACUAACUACAAUGAGAAGUUCAAGGGCAAGGCCAAACUUACUGCAGACAAAUACUCCAGCACUGCCUACAUGCAGCUCAGCGGCCUGACAUCUGAGGACUCUGCAGUCUGUGCAAGACACAGUGUUGUACCCACAUCCUGA